UUCAGUACAUAUGUUCAAGGAAGGUAGCAUUACACAUGUCAAAUUGAAGUCAAUCAUCUAACAAUGAGAACAUUUUCAUUGCAAAAGAAUAUCACUUCAAUUAAUCCAGAUAGUGUAUCAACUAUCAACACACUAAAAUUUGAUGCACAAAAAUGUGUAUUGACUCUAGGGCCAAUCUAGCAUUAACAUAACAACUUCAACCUAAUUUAACCUUACAUAGUCGAUUAACCUGGCAAUUAGCACUAAUGUUAUCCUAACUACAAUUACAACUUCACUUGAGCAUAACAACAAGGGCCAAUCCAGUAACCAGAAACAUGAAAAAUAGUAGUUGCAAACUUGUCCACAACAAUGGCAGCCUUGUUCUCCACCUUCACCUUGUUUAUCUUGAGCAACACUUCACCAAUCUGUACCUUCAUCUCAUGUAGCAAAAGCUUCAUCUUCAUGAACUACAUCUUCAAGUUCACAUAUGUCACCGCUACUACCUUUGCAUCUCCUUGCAGCAAGUGUGGAUGAUUGGAGCACAAGUAUUCCACAUAGGCAUCCUCAUACUAGUAGUAAGAACUAGAAUUGUCGUUCUGACAAAUCAACAUGGCACACCAAAUUAAAUCAUAAAAGCAGGGGACAAAAAUAAAUCUGGAAAAUGAAAUCCAACUCACCCAAAAAUUAUUUGGGCACUUAUGGAACACCACAUAAUUCUUGCACUCACACUCAAUCACCGAUGUGGCACUUGGGGUAGUUGGUCAGAGAAAAGGGCCUCUAGUGUCACAGACUAGCUAGAGUUUUCGACAGCGCUCGUCAUGGACAUGACCCCUCUUCUCGCUGAUGCGUUCAAAGGCUGACGACGAAGGAGAAGACCAAC
rnacentral:lncRNA from 1 species